rnacentral:rRNA from 1 species
AUUGAACGCUGGCGGCAGGCCUAACACAUGCAAGUCGAGCGGAUGAAGGGAGCUUGCUCCUGGAUUCAGCGGCGGACGGGUGAGUAAUGCCUAGGAAUCUGCCUGGUAGUGGGGGAUAACGUCCGGAAACGGGCGCUAAUACCGCAUACGUCCUGAGGGAGAAAGUGGGGGAUCUUCGGACCUCACGCUAUCAGAUGAGCCUAGGUCGGAUUAGCUAGUUGGUGGGGUAAAGGCCUACCAAGGCGACGAUCCGUAACUGGUCUGAGAGGAUGAUCAGUCAAACGGAAAUGGAAAAAGGGCCAAAACCCAAAGGGGAGGAAGCAGGGGGAAAUAUGGGAAAAGGGGGGAAAGCCUGACCCAGCCAGGCGGGGGGUGGGAAGAAGGUUUUGGGAUGGAAAGCACUUUAAGUUGGGAGGAAGGGCAGUAAGUUAAUACCUUGCUGUUUUGACGUUACCAACAGAAUAAGCACCGGCUAACUUCGUG